AUUGAACGCUGGCGGAAUGCUUUACACAUGCAAGUCGAACGGCAGCACGGACUUCGGUCUGGUGGCGAGUGGCGAACGGGUGAGUAAUGUAUCGGAACGUGCCCAGUCGUGGGGGAUAACGUAGUGAAAAUUACGCUAAUACCGCAUACGAUCUAUGGAUGAAAGCGGGGGAUCGCAAGACCUCGCGCGUUUGGAGCGCCCGAUAUCAGAUUAGGUAGUUGGUGGGGUAAAGGCCCACCAAGCCAACGAUCUGUAGCUGGUCUGAGGGGACGACCAGCCACACUGGAACUGAGACACGGUCCAGACUCCUACGGGAGGCAGCAGUGGGGAAUUUUGGACAAUGGGCGAAAGCCUGAUCCAGCCAUUCCGCGUGCAGGAUGAAGGCCCUCGGGUUGUAAACUGCUUUUGUACAGAACGAAAAGGUUUCUACUAAUACUAGGAGCUCAUGACGGUACUGUAAGAAUAAGCACCGGCUAACUACGUGCCAGCCGCCGCCGUAA
rnacentral:rRNA from 1 species